rnacentral:lncRNA from 1 species
UUUUUUUAAAGUUUAAGAGGAAAUGAACGAUGGAGUGCUAGUAUUUAUUUGUUUGGGGAAUUGACACACGGACGGAAAUGGAAAAAAGUAGUACUAUAAUAAAAAAAAUGAAAUGUCAUUUUCAUUUUUAUUCUAAAUUCCAUUGAAUUUUAAGUUUUGUGGAACAAGUGUACAUAAGUCAUAAAGUAGUUGGAAUCUGGCUAAAUAACAAAAACUAAUACUAGCAAUCAUAAACAAUUGAAGACCCAAAAAAAUUAUCUUGCCUGCGCGUUAUAAAGAAAUUAUAUAACAAAAACUAAUACUAGCAAUCAUAAACAAUUGCAAAGCAAAUUCAAAAAUCAAAGUAGGUGAAGAUAUUGCACUGGAAGUUUUGAAUAUAUGUAGGGAGGGAGGGAGUUGGGGUGUAAG